UUAAAUUUGGUCUGUGAAUGGGGUAGGAUCCGACGCCUCCUGAAGGCUACAUAGGCUCUCCUACCCAACUCCUAUUCUGGUACAGUAUUGGACAAAACAAGUGCAACUCAAAUCGAGCAAUCAUAAAAAGCAUCAGUAAACUUCCAUGUUUCGGAAUCGAAAUCGAGUAAG
rnacentral:ribozyme from 1 species